UGGCUCUUGACUCUCCCGCGCUGCAGUCGGUGGCUCUGGCCGGAAUCAGAACCGGAAUCGGAAUCGGUAUCGGAAUCGGUAUCGGAAUCGCAAUCCGAAUCGGAAUCGGAAUCGGAAUCUUGCCCGGAUUGCAAAGCGGACUGGGAGUGAGAGAGUGUAUUUUUAGUGCUUGCGUGCGAAAUUUUGUUGGUGUCAAAGUUAAACAAUUUACGUGAGAUCCACUGUAUAGCAACAUGAAAUUGAUGAAGUUUCCAAUAAUAUAUCACCUUUCUCCACACACCGAAACACACACACACACAUACACACGCGCGCACACAAAGUGCAAGGACAGGCCAAGAAGAAGCAGCAGUACAAAAAAGGAUAAUUGCAACAGCAAGCAUAAGAAGUAAGCCAGGCAACUGCAACAGCAACAUUUGCUGCAAGUGCAGCUCCCACAGCCGUCGCCGCCGCCAAGUUCAAAAUCAACGCC
rnacentral:sRNA from 13 species